rnacentral:rRNA from 1 species
GUGCGUAAUAGCUCACUAGUCGAGUGACCCUGCGCCGAAAAUGUACCGGGGCUAAACAUAUUACCGAAGCUGUGGACUACACCAUUAGGUGUAGUGGUAGGAGAGCGUUCUAAGGGCGUUGAAGGUCGAUCGUGAGGACGGCUGGAGCGCUUAGAAGUGAGAAUGCCGGUAUGAGUAGCGAAAGACAGGUGAGAAUCCUGUCCACCGUAUGACUAAGGUUUCCUGGGGAAGGCUCGUCCGCCCAGGGUUAGUCGGGACCUAAGCCGAGGCCGAUAGGCGUAGGCGAUGGACAACAGGUUGAUAUUCCUGUACCA